AGAUAAUAGAUCCGGUAGUCCACGCCGUAAACGAUGAGAACUAGUCGUUGGGAGGCUUAGUCCUCUUAGUGUCGAAAGCUAAACGCGUUAAGUUCUCCGCCUGGGGAGUACGGCCGCAAGGUUAAAACUCAAAGGAAUUGACGGGGCCCGCACGAAGCGGUGGAGCAUGUGGUUUAAUUCGAUAGCAACGCGAAAAACCUUAACCUACCCUUACGUACAUCCUAGGAAUCUUUCAGAGAUGAGAGAGUGCCUCGGAACCUAGAGACAGGUAGAUGCAUGGCUGUCGUCAGCUCGUGUCGUGAGAUGUU
rnacentral:rRNA from 1 species